rnacentral:rRNA from 1 species
UACGUAGGGGGGCAAGCGUUGUCCGGAUUUAUUGGGCGUAAAGAGCGUGUAGGCGGUCAGGUAGGUCGGUUGUGAAAAACUGGAGGCUCAACCUUCAGAGGUCGACCGAAACCCCCUGGCUAGAGUCCGGGAGAGGAGAGUGGAAUUCCUGGUGUAGCGGUGAAAUGCGCAGAUAUCAGGAAGAACACCCGUGGCGAAAGCGGCUCUCUGGAACGGUACUGACGCUGAGACGCGAAAGCGUGGGGAGCGAACAGG